rnacentral:rRNA from 1 species
UACGUAGGGGGCAAGCGUUAUCCGGAAUUACUGGGCGUAAAGGGUGCGUAGGCGGUAAUAUAAGUUGGAGUUUUAAACCAUGGGCUCAACCCAUGUCAGGCUCCAAAACUGUAUAACUUGAGUACUGGAGAGGAAAGUGGAAUUCCUAGUGUAGCGGUGAAAUGCGUAGAUAUUAGGAGGAAUACCGGUGGCGAAGGCGACUUUCUGGACAGUAACUGACGCUGAGGCACGAAAGCGUGGGUAGCAAACAGG